rnacentral:rRNA from 1 species
GACGAACGCUGGCGGCGUGCUUAACACAUGCAAGUCGAACGGAAAGGCCCUGCUUUUGUGGGGUGCUCGAGUGGCGAACGGGUGAGUAACACGCGAGUAACCUGCCCUUGACUUUGGGAUAACUUCAGGAAACUGGGGCUAAUACCGGAUAGGAUCUCCUGCUGCAUGGUGGGGGUUGGAAAGUUUCGGCGGUUGGGGAUGGACUCGCGGCUUAUCAGCUUGUUGGUGGGGUAGUGGCUUACCAAGGCUUUGACGGGUAGCCGGCCUGAGAGGGUGACCGGCCACAUUGGGACUGAGAUACGGCCCAGACUCCUACGGGAGGCAGCAGUGGGGAAUAUUGCACAAUGGGCGGAAGCCUGAUGCAGCAACGCCGCGUGCGGGAUGACGGCCUUCGGGUUGUAAACCGCUUUCGCCUGUGACGAAGCGUGAGUGACGGUAAUGGGUAAAGAAGCACCGGCUAACUACGUG